rnacentral:misc_RNA from 1 species
GAUGAAGAACGUAGCGAAAUGCGAUAAGUAGUGUGAAUUGCAGAAUUCAGUGAAUCAUCGAGUCUUUGAACGCACAUUGCGCCCCCUGGUAUUCCGGGGGGCAUGCCUGUCCGAGCGUCAUUGCUGCCCUCAAGCCCGGCUUGUGUGUUGGGCCCUGCUCCCCCGGGGGCAGGCCCGAAAGGCAGUGGCGGCACCGCGUCCGAUCCUCGAGCGUAUGGGGCUUUGUCACCCGCUCUGUAGGCCCGGCCGGCGCUUGCCGACCCCCAUCAAUCUUUUUUCAGGUUGACCUCGGAUCAGGUAGGGAUACCCGCUGAACUUAAGCAUAUCAAUAAGCGGAGGA